GAUGAACGCUGGCGGCGUGCCUAAUACAUGAAAGUCGAGCGAAUGGAUUAAGAGCUUGCUCUUAUGAAGUUAGCGGCGGACGGGUGAGUAACACGUGGGUAACAUGCCCAUAAGACUGGGAUAACUCCGGGAAACAGGGGCUAAUACCGGAUACCAUUUUGAACCGCAUGGUUCGAAAUUGCAUGGAGGCUUCGGCUGUCACUUAUGGAUGGACCCGCGUCGCAUUAGCUAGUUGGUGAGGUAACGGCUCACCAAGGCAACGAUGCGUAGCAGAACUGAGAGGGUGAUCGGCGACACUGGGACUGGGACACGGCCCAGACUCAUACGGGAGGCAGCAGUAGGGAAUCUUCCGCAAUGGACGCAAGUCUGACGGAUCAGCGCCGCGUGAGUGAUGAAGGCUUUCGGGUCGUAAAACUCUUUUGUUAGGGAAGAACAAGUGCUAGUUUAGUAAGCUGGCAUCUUGACGGUACCUAACCAGAAAGCCACGGCUAACUACGUGCCAGCCGCCGCAGUAA
rnacentral:rRNA from 1 species